rnacentral:tRNA from 1 species
UCCCUGGUGGCUCAGUGGUAAAGAAUCUGCCUGCAAUGCAGGAGACUCAGGUUCGAUCCCUGGGUUGGGAA